GUGCAGCAGUCGCGAAACCUCCGCAAUACACGAAAGUGUGACGGGGCCAUCCCGAGUGCCGUCCGCUGAGGACGGCUUUUCCCCAGUGUACACAGCUGGGGGAAUAAGGAGAGGGCAAGCCUGGUGUCAGCCGCCGCGGUAAUACCAGCUCUCCGAGUGGUGGGGACGCUUAUUGGGCCUAGAGCAUCCGUAGCCGGCUGGGCAAGUCCUCCGUUAAAUCCAACGAUUCAAUCGUUGGGCUGCGGGGGAUACUGUCCAGCUUGGGGGCGGGAGAGGCCGACGGUAUUCCCGGGGUAGGGUGAAAUCCUAUAAUCCCGGGAGGACCACCAGUGGCGAAGGCUGUCGGCUAGAACGCGCCCGACGGUGAGGGAUGAAAGCUGGGGGAGCGAACCGGAUUAGAUACCCGUGUAGU
rnacentral:rRNA from 1 species